CCUGAAUGAAGAUUCUCCCUCACUCAGACAUCGACAACUUCCGUGUUCCUUGUUGUAUAUACUUUAUUUACUUUCACAUUUUUUACUUUCCCUGGCGUUUUAUACCUUGGAUUACUAUUGUUUAAAUUGGAACUUAGAAUUUUCAAUCAUGGGAAGGUCAAGGUACGCUAUAAAGAAAGAAACCUUCCAAUUCACCAGGUUAGAGAUGCAGUUGCUGUUUUGAAUGCUCAAGAGUUGAUUACAAAGAAGAACAAGCUUCGAAGCCGACAGAAGAAAUUGAAAGCAUGUGACCUCUCUUCCCUCACAGAGUUCCUCCCUGAGUUGAAGCCUCCCCGGCAAUCAAAACCUGUUGCUGAGUUUAAAUUGAAUUCUUAAACAAGGCAAAAACUAAUAUUGAAGGAAGGGAAACGGUUGAGUAUGGUUCUUAACCAUCAAGCUUUCCAGGCAGAUCCCCUGGGAUCCAUUCAUCAACACUACUGAGCACACAACCUGUUGCAGAGGAGAAGCCGAAGAAAAAAAUAAACAAAAAAGGAGGGAAGAAAGUCAAGGGGAAAAAUUGAAAGCAUCAACUGCACCUCAGUCUAUGGAUUUCUGAUGAGCCAUAAUGUCCAUAUCGUACCCUAAGAAUUCAGUCACUCAAAAUCUUGAUUAUUACUUCCCUUGCACGUUUAAUCGUGUUGAAAAUUGUAAUCAAGCGGGCAGUCCUAUAGGAUGCUCCAUCUUUGGAGUGGUGUAAUUGAACCUCUUUUUCUGGGCACAUUUUACAUGACAAUAUAUGGAGUCAUAUCCUUUUGUUGUAGCCUUCUGCAUUAUGCCCAGAAUAAUUACUUUUCAGCUGGAAUAGCAAGGACCAAGUCACAAAUGUAUCCGAGCAUUCAAGUUUAAAUGAAAAUUGGAUGGUCAAUCAUA